AAAAAAGCCUCUUACACACCAAACAUCAAAUCCGUCCUGUCCUGUCUGAGUGCUCGGGCACGCCGCCAGAUCUACUCAGCCUGCAACACGAGCUGCUGAUCCAGGAGGAGAGAGGCGAGGAGAGACUAAGAAGCGGAUAGUGAUCUGAGAACCAAAAACUGAUUGGGUUUCAAAGAGCUUGGCACCAGCCUGCUGCAGGAGGCAACCUGCCAAGAGAAGGUUCCUGUGUACUUUUACAACGGUGCCAUUAAGAAACUGGAAAAGAUCAAAGGAAACACAUCCAAGGAAUGAGGACGGGCGCAAGUUUGUGUCGGCGAAACAUUACUGCAGAACAAUGGGCUUCAUUUACUAAUAUUUCUGUGAAAAUAAUCUCACACUGCACAAAAAAACAAAUGGGAGAGUGUCAAGAAAUGAUACUGUAAGUAACGACAUUCAGAACAACAAGAUAAAGUCAUUUUUAAGGACAGAAAAGAACAUUUAAAAUAA